rnacentral:rRNA from 1 species
CAGUAGCCGCGGUAAUACGUAGGGUGCAAGCGUUAAUCGGAAUUACUGGGCGUAAAGCGUGCGCGGGCGGUUUGUUAAGACAGAUGUGAAAUCCCCGGGCUCAACCUGGGGACUGCAUUUGUGACUGGCAAGCUAGAGUGUGGCAGAGGGGGGUGGAAUUCCGCGUGUAGCAGUGAAAUGCGUAGAGAUCUGGAGGAAUACCGGUGGCGAAGGCGGCCCCCUGGACAAAGACUGACGCUCAGGUGCGAAAGCGUGGGGAGCAAACAGGAUUAGAUACCCCUGUAGUCCCUGUCUCUUAUAC